GAAAAAAAUAAAAAUGCCCGGGCGUAGCCCGGGUUAAUCCCUAGUCUAUAACUAUAAAAGAGAGUUUUCUCCCACCUCAGGCCGCCACGUCACCAAACAAGGAUGGGCAUUUUUGGACACGUGGCCUCUUCUUUCUUCGUGUGUUCUCGACUUUUUUUAGCGGCAAAGGAAAGUGGACCAUGGCCCGUAACGAGUGUUUAGUUGGCCGGAGGACAAGAUAUGUCGUCACCAACACCAAAAUUUAAGCAAAAAAAAACCAAAGCUUCACCCUUCACACUUCCACGAUUCUUUUAAUACUUCCAAAACUCUACCAUCAAUUGUAACACAUGAUUUAACUCUUCAAAAUCUUUGUACCAUAUAUUUAUUGUUCAGAUCUACUCUUCAUCUCGACAUAAAUCUCGGCAAAAUUAUAUCUUACUCAAAGUUCCAAUAGAUAGACAGCAGCCGCUAGGGCUAGAAAUCACGAUAGGAAUCACGAGUUUUCUUUUGUAAUGGAGAUUCGGUUGCGAAAUUGAGAAAUCUCUCAACGAAGCUGCACAAUCUGAUGACUGAGGAACUUUGAGAUGGUGCGUCUAGACGACGAUGAUGGAGCAAAUCAAAACUUACAUAGUGAAAACAGAUUGGCUUUCACAGUAAGCAUGUGGAUUUCAUACAUGUGGUAGAAUUUUAGCUGUGGGAAAUUCAAUCGAAAAGAUCAGAUAUCUAGAAAGUCCCCAAAGGCAGCUGUUGUCGCAGAUUGUGAACUCAUCUCUUAUAAAAGCAUGAUUUUGCUUUUGUUUGUUUUCUUUCCAAAGUCUUUUGGUUACAAGUUUGGUGUGUUCUUAUGGCAGGCUUUUUGAUUCAAGAAGGAACAGGGACAACGCUUCUCCAAGGUUCCAUCUUUGUUCAUCGCCUUAACACUUUUAAACAUAUGCUGAAAGAGGGAGCUGUUUACAAGCUCAGUAGGUUUGAUGUUACCUGAGGAAGGUAACUGAACUGAUACCAUUUUAUCUUUGCAUAAUCAGCGAAUAAAACUGGUGUCUCAGUCACUACUCUUAUUGACUUUCAAGAGGUAAGAAACUAUCUUUUACAUUGCUUCUUCCAUGUUCUUACUUACUACCCUCAAAAUGAUUUUAGGGAAACUCUAUCCUCUAGCUUCCUCAAGACCGUUUGAAUCUACUGCUUGCUUUAGCCAAAGAAUAUGAUGUUAACAGAGAGCAAGUCUAGAAACUCCUUAGGCAAUAUCUUGGGGUUGAGGAUGCACCCAGUAAAUCUUUUGUUUUUGUAUUUUGAUUGAUAUUCUUCAAUAGAUUUCUCUCGAUGAACGAGUGCUCUUUAGGUGACGAUGGAGAGGCUCAUUCUACAUAAUGAGGCUUUAUCUAUUGUUUACUAUCGCAUUGAGUGGAAUAUGAGACAUGCUCUGAAGCCUACAUAUGAAACUCUCUUUGAGAUGUUAAAAUACUCAUCCUGGAGGGUUGCAUUUUUUGUCCGUCCUAUGUGUUGAUCUUCAUUAGUCAUACUACAGAUGUGGCUCCUGCUUCUUUAAAGCUUGAUCAAAUCACUUGGGAUGAUCAUGAUUCCUUGCUUGAGAAAACUGUUGCUAAUGAGAUAUGUGAAAGUAUUUUCUAUUACAAUAAUAUCCAAAACAACUUUGGUUUUUUAUCUAACAUUCUCUUAUUUAUAAAGCGGUGCAACAAAUCAGCAACAUCUUCGAUCUUAAAAAAGAUUUGGAAUAGGGCCUCUAUGCUUUGGUUAUUAUCAUCCAUCUAUUCAUGGUUAGUUUUAUACACAUGUUUCUUUGAUCGUCACCAGCUUAGCCCUACUGCAACUUUUGCAUUACAUGUUUACCAAUUCUUUCAUAUACUAUGUACUUCUCCUUUUAACAUACAGUCUAACAUCUUAUAAUGCGUUUGGACAGGGCGGGGACAACAACCUAGGUGACGAUACGCCAGGAGCCUCAUGUGUGUCCUGCAUCUGCUCAAAAAACCACAAGCUGUCUACAACUGAUCAGGCCACCGGCAGUGGUGGCUUCCACUUACUGAAACAACAGGAACUGAGGAAAACACAGUCGGGAGCUCAGCAAAGGAGCCACAUGUUUCAACAACAGAGAGGGAGCUUAAGAAUGAACCCAAAGCAUAGAUGCUGAAGAUAGCCAACAUCUAAUAUUAUGUUAUUCUCAGUAUAUUAGAAAUGGUCGAACCGUAAACCAAUUAAGGAUGAUGUAAGGAAUACAUAAAGAUGUAUUUCCAGUUAUCACUAAUAUAUAAUCAAUUUUUACAACAAUUUAAUUAUGUACAGCGUAGGACAACAUAGAAGAAUUUUCAUACCUUCUAAUAUUAUAACAUCUCACUAUAUUAUUGGCUAAAUCAGUUUUCUCUAGCACAAAUACUCACUCCAUUCUUGGAGUUUAAGCUUUUCUAUCUAAUGAUAUUAGUAGUUUGAUCCAAAAAAAAAAAAGAAACGGUCGAACUGUACAUUGUAAUUGGAGAAAGAAAACAAACAAAAAUCAACCGAAAACUUUUUAAGGUAUAUGAAACAAAAAUUAAAAAUAACAAUUCUCUGCAAUUA